CGGGGGGCAGCAGUAAGGAAUAUUGGACAAUGCCCGCAAGGGUGAUCCAGCCAUGCCGCGUGCAGGAAGACGGCCCUAUGGGUUGUAAACUGCUUUUAUACAAGAGAAAACCUCCCUACGUGUAGGGAGCUGAUAGUAUUGUAGGAAUAAGCAUCGGCUAACUUCGUGCCAGCAGCCGCGGUAAGACGAAGGAUGCAAGCGUUAUCCGGAUUCAUUGGGUUUAAAGGGAGCGUAGGCGGUCUUAUAAGUCAGUGGUGAAAGCUCCUCGCUUAACGAGGAAAUUGCCAUUGAUACUGUAGGACUUGAGUACAGUUGCUGUGGGCGGAAUAUGACAUGUAGUGGUGAAAUACAUAGAUAUGUCAUAGAACACCGAUUGCGAAGGCAGCUCACAAAACUGUAACUGACGCUGAGGCUCGAAAGUGCGGGGAUCAAACAGGAUUAGAUACCCCGGU
rnacentral:rRNA from 1 species